GUCAACAACCCCUAAGCCCUUCGGGACUUAGGGGCUUUUCAUCUUAGGAUUUGAAGCCCAGUUGACCAGGUUAAGUGUUCAAUCACUCUGUUAGGGACGAAUAUUAUAGGCACUCCGUGAUGCUUCAGAGGAAAAAGUUUUUGCGCGCAAAAACAUUUUCCUCUGAAACCAGUUGCGGACUCUGCG
rnacentral:sRNA from 17 species